rnacentral:lncRNA from 1 species
AGCUUCUAAAAUAUCUUUUAGUCCAUGACCAAUACCCUAGUUGGUCCUAUACAUGUGACCCGCUAUCAGGAAAAGAAUUGCAAUAGCUAAAUGGUGAUGGGCAAUAUCAGUCAGCCACAGACCGCCAGUUACCAAUAUCUUCUUCUCUCCCCUAAUCUUACGUUUCAGCCAAUUACUUCUCAAGAGUGUUAAGAAAAUCUAUGGAGCUUCUAAAAUAUCUUUUAGUCCAUGACCAAUACCCUAGUUGGUCCUAUACAUGUGACCCGCUAUCAGAAAAAGAAUUGCAAUAUCUAAAACGUGAUGGGCAAUAUCAGUCGGCCACAGACCCCCAGUUACUGGAUCUAAUCCUCCACGAAAAGUAAGAAAGUCCGCAUAUUUUGACCAAUUCAAGGUGAAAAAUGGGGUUGCUCCCUCGGCAAAACUCCAUGACCAAUACCCCAGUUGGUCCUAUACAUGUGACCCGCUAUCAGGAAAAGAAUUGCAAUAGCUAAAUGGUGAUGGGCAAUAUCAGUCGGCCACAGACCCCCAGUUACUGGAUCUAAUCCUCCACGAAAAGUAAGAAAGUCCGCAUAUUUUGACCAAUUCAAGGGGAAAAAUGGGGUUGCUCCCUCGGCAAAACUGGGAUAAAGUUGAGCCAAUAAAUCUCGAUUCAAGAUAACUCAUGAGGGAGUGGUAUCUCUUUAGGAUGCAAAGAGAAGUGUGGCGGUCGUGCAAGCAAGCGAAGUCGAAUAUAUUAGAUGAGCUUACUUAGUACGUUA